rnacentral:misc_RNA from 1 species
GAUGAAGAACGUAGCGAAAUGCGAUAAAUAAUGUGAAUUGCAGAAUUCAGUGAAUCAUCGAAUCUUUGAACGCACAUUGCGCCCGCCAGUAUUCUGGCGGGCAUGCCUGUUCGAGCGUCAUUUCCACCAUCAGGCCCCCGGGCCUGUGUUGGGGACCUGCGGCUGCCCGCAGGCCCCGAAAUUCAGUGGCGGUCGCGCCGUAGCAACCGAGCGUAGUAACUAAAACGUCUCGCUCUGGCUCGCUGGGCGCGCUCCGGCCGUAAAACACCCCCCCUUUUCGCAAAGGUUGACCUCGGAUCAGGUAGGAAUACCCGCUGAACUUAAGCAUAUCAAUAAGCGGAGGA